CAAGUUUGAUGGCGACCGGCGCACGGGUGAGUAACACGUAUCCAACCUGCCGAUGACUCGGGGAUAGCCUUUCGAAAGAAAGAUUAAUACCCGAUGGCAUAGUUCUUCCGCAUGGUAGAACUAUUAAAGAAUUUCGGUCAUCGAUGGGGAUGCGUUCCAUUAGGUUGUUGGCGGGUAACGGCCCACCAAGCCUUCGAUGGAUAGGGGUUCUGAGAGGAAGGUCCCCCACAUUGGAACUGAGACACGGUCCAAACUCCUACGGGAGGCAGCAUG
rnacentral:rRNA from 1 species